UACGGAGGGUGCAAGCGUUAUCCGGAUUUACUGGGUUUAAAGGGUGCGUAGGCGGUUUUGUAAGUCAGUGGUGAAAGCCCGGAGCUUAACUUCGGAAUUGCCAUUGAAACUGCAAAGCUUGAAUAUAGUUGAAGUGGGCGGAAUACAACAUGUAGCGGUGAAAUGCUUAGAUAUGUUGUAGAACACCAAUUGCGUAGGCAGCUCACUAAGCUAUCAUUGACGCUGAGGCACGAAAGCGUGGGGAUCGAACAGG
rnacentral:misc_RNA from 1 species